rnacentral:rRNA from 1 species
UACGGAGGGUGCAAGCGUUAAUCGGAAUUACUGGGCGUAAAGCGUGCGUAGGUGGUUCGUUAAGUCCGUUGUGAAAGCCCCGAGCUCAACUUGGGAAUUGCAGUGGAUACUGGCGAGCUAGAGUGCGGUAGAGGAAGGUGGAAUUCCCGGUGUAGCGGUGAAAUGCGUAGAGAUCGGGAGGAACACCCGUGGCGAAGGCGGCACUCUGGGACGGUACUGACGCUGAGACGCGAAAGCGUGGGGAGCGAGCAGG